AAAGAUUAAGCCAUGCAUGUCUAAGUAUAAGCAAUUAUACCGCGAAACUGCGAAUGGCUCAUUAUAUAAGUUAUCGUUUAUUUGAUAGCACAUUUACCUACUUGGAUAACCGUGGUAAUUCUAGAGCUAAUACAUGCUAAAAAUCCCGACUUCGGAAGGGAUGUAUUUAUUAGAUUAAAGGCCAACGCCCUUCGGGGCUUCUUGGUGAUUCAUGAUAACUGGUCGAAUCGCAUGGCCUUGCGCCGGCGAUGGUUCAUUCAAAUUUCUUCCCUAUCAACUUUCGAUGCGAAGGUCUUGUCUUCGCACGGUUG
rnacentral:rRNA from 1 species